rnacentral:rRNA from 1 species
ACGAACGCUGGCGGCGUGCUUAACACAUGCAAGUCGCACGGAAAGGCCCUGCUUUUGUGGGGUGCUCGAGUGGCGAACGGGUGAGUAACACGUGAGUAACCUGCCCUUGACUUUGGGAUAACUUCAGGAAACUGGGGCUAAUACCGGAUAGGAGCUCCUGCUGCAUGGUGGGGGUUGGAAAGUUUCGGCGGUUGGGGAUGGACUCGCGGCUUAUCAGCUUGUUGGUGGGGUAGUGGCUUACCAAGGCUUUGACGGGUAGCCGGCCUGAGAGGGUGACCGGCCACAUUGGGACUGAGAUACGGCCCAGACUCCUACGGGAGGCGGCAGUGGGGAAUAUUGCACAAUGGGCGGAAGCCUGAUGCAGCAACGCCGCGUGCGGGAUGACGGCCUUCGGGUUGUAAACCGCUUUCGCCUGUGACGAAGCGUGAGUGACGGUAAUGGGUAAAGAAGCACCGGCUAACUACGUG